GACGAACGCUGGCGGCGUGCUUAACACAUGCAAGUCGAACGGAAAGGCCCUGCUCUUGUGGGGUGCUCGAUUGGCGAACGGGUGAGUAACACGUGAGUAACCUGCCCUUGUCUUUGGGAUAACUUCAGGAAACUGGGGCUAAUACCGCAUAGGAGCUCCUGCUCCAUGGUGGGGGUUGGAAAGUUUCGGCGGUUGUGGAUGGAGUCGCGGCUUAGCCGCUUGUUGGUGGGGUAGUGGCUUACACAGGAUUUGACGGGUAGCCGGCCUGAGAGGGUGACCGGCCACAGUGGGACUGAGAUGCGGCCCAGACGCAUACGGGAGGCAGCAGUGGAGAAUAGAGCACAAUGGGCGGAAGCAUGAUGCAGCAACGCCGCGUGCGGGAUGACGGCCUUCGGGGUGUAAACCGCUUUCGCCUGUGACGAAGCGUGAGUGACGGUAAUGGGUAAAGAAGCACCGGCUAACUACGU
rnacentral:rRNA from 1 species